CUUGCUCAGCAAAUACUUGCACACCUAUUAUGUGCUGAGUCCUAAGGGAACCCCAGGGAUGCUGCCCACAGGAGCUGACAGUCCCUGGAAGAGAGGCAGGUAAUCCAUGCAGAAUUUAGAAGCAAAACUGAAAUUCCUUAGGCACAGACACAGUAGGGGUGAGGAGUGGGCUGAGAAAUUCCAGAAGGCAUCACUCAUGUGACCGGCCAAUCCAGAGCCCCCGCCUCAUGUCCUGUCCCCAUUCGUAGACUAAGGAGCCAGCAGAGGCCGACCACAGAGGAGGGGCUCAGUGGACACAGUCUUGACUUCUGCCAAUGCAAACCCCUCCCUGCCGCUGCCUGAGUAUAUCCCCAUAGGCCCAGCCGUGGUCAAUCAGCCUAUGCUUAGAGCUGGCAUCCUCAUGCUUCUGUGUGCUAUCAUGGCUUUUCCCCAGCUAUGUAAGUUGUCUCCACAAUAAAACUGGGAAUUAUGA